AAGCAUGUCAGAGGGAUUGAGCAUUUUUUAAAUGUUGUCGCUUCUCACUUCGCAACAUAUAUACAUACACACUCACACAUAACCAAACGUGAGCGUACGGUGGGUAUCUCUUGUGGGGAACGAGAGCACGUUCUGAGGUGCUGCAGUGUAUCUGUAGGGGUGACAGCCGCUGUGCCUCCUGCCACCUCUGUGGCCAGGGCAUCCGCAGCUCUAAGAGUCGUGCUCUGGGACCCCCUCCAACCCCAUCCCCAGGGCUGCGGUCCACGUGGAGCUGAGCAGCGGAGGUAUCAGAACCUUUGACAGGCACCGUCAUCCUCUCCCUGGCUGUUCGUCAGUUCUAGGAUUUUACACACCUCUUCCACAGGAGCAACCUAGAGUUGGAGUUUUUAAGAGCCAAGUGCUGUGUGUUCUUUAAAGAUAAUUGAACCCCUCCCAAAUGUUGCUUCCUGAAAAUCACUGCCUCUGCAGAGAGGCUGGGGGACUGUUGGUGGUCGUCUAUCUUCCUUUGAGGGGUGGGACGCCCCUGGGCUUCCCUGCUGUGAACUCCCCUCUUGAAGUCUCUGGGAUCUUCAGCGACGGGUGUGUGAAGGCAGCCUUGGCGGUCGCUGCACAUCCUGCAUAAACCUUCGUGUCCAUCACUCACCUUCCUGCCGACUCCUCUGCCUGUGGCGGCUGCCACGUUUCUUUGAUUUCCUUCGAUUUCUCAGUCUGUCAUUCUCUGGAUCCAGGGGUCCUUGCAGGCCCCCCAUCAAUUCAGAAGAUGGACAUAUGGCUCACACUUAUGUUU
rnacentral:lncRNA from 1 species